GGUCAAGAAUGAUUGUAGGGUUGGUUGGUUGAUUUGGUCGAGGCUGAUUGCAGGGUUGGUUUCGGGCUGGACAGGAAACAGGAAUUCGGGAACGCGCAUCCCAUGUAGGCGCACUCCCGGCUGAUUCCCCCGGAAUGGAGCAGCGAGCCAGUAACGGCAGUGAAAACCGUUCACUUCUGAACACCACAAUAUUGCAUUGACACCCGGAUUUGCGACACAUUUAAACCUACCAGUUUUUACGUUGGAUUCCCGAGGAAAACGUUCUGGAUUUGUGACACUGGUUGCUGUUGGCCAAUGUUCUGAAACUACAGAACACAGUGAGCCAAUUCUCUGAUCCUGGUGUGGUGGUCUGGGGGAGGAGUCUCUGAGCACAUCCUGGUGUGGUGGUCUGGGGGAGGAGUCUCUGAGCACAUCCUGGUGUGGUGGUCUGGGGGAGGAGUCUCUGAGCACAUCCUGGUGUGGUGGUCUGGGGGAGGAGUCUGAGUCUUGCAGGAAAUCACGCACAGAAGAGCAGUAUGGCUGGUGGAAUUGUCAUGCUGUAGGGUCAUGUCAGGAUGAGCCUGCAGGAAGGGUACCACAUGAGGGAGGAGGAUAUCUUCCCUGUAAUGCACAGCAUUGAGAUUGCCUGCAAUGACAACAAGCUCAGUCCGUUGAUGCAGUGACACACUGCGCCAGACCAUGACGGACCCUCCACCUCCAAAACGAAUCCCACUCCAGAGUGCAGGCCUUGGUGUAAAUGCUCAUUCCUUCGACGAUAAACGCGAAUCCGACCAUCGCCCCUGGUGAGACGACAACUGCAGCUCGUCAGUGAAGAGCACUUUUUGCCAGUCCUGUCUGGUCCAGCGACGGUGGGUUUGUGCCCAUAGGCGACGUUAUUGCCAGUGAUGUCUGGUGAGGACCUGCCUUUACAACAGGCCUACAAGCCCUCAGUCCAGCCUCUCUCAGACUAUUAUGGACAGUCUGCACUGAUGGAGGGAUUGUGCGUUCCUGGUGUAACUC
ensembl:lncRNA